GUGCCAGCAGCCUGCGGUAAUUCCAGCUCCAAUAGCGUAUAUUAAAGUUGUUGUGGUUAAAAAGCUCGUAGUUGAACCUUGGGCCUGGCUGGCCGGUCCGCCUCACCGCGUGCACUGGUCCGGCCGGGCCUUUCCCUCUGUGGAACCCCAUACCCUUCACUGGGCGUGGCGGGGAAACAGGACAUUUACUUUGAAAAAAUUAGAGUGCUCCAGGCAGGCCUAUGCUCGAAUACAUUAGCAUGGAAUAAUAAAAUAGGACGCGCGGUUCUAUUUUGUUGGUUUAUAGGACCGCCGUAAUGAUUAAUAGGGACAGUCGGGGGCAUCAGUAUUCAACUGUCAGAGGUGAAAUUCUUGGAUCAGUUGAAGACUAACUACUGCGAAAGCAUUUGCCAAGGAUGUUUUCAUUAAUCAGGAACGAAAGUUAGGGGAUCGAAGACGAUCAGAUACCGUCGUAGUCUUAACCAUAAACUAUGCCGACUAGGGAUCGGACGGUGUUAUUCAUGACCCGUUCGGCACCUUACGAGAAAUCAAAGUGCUUGGGCUCCAGGGGGAGUAUGGUCGCAAGGCUGAAACUUAAAGAAAUUGACGGAAGGGCACCACCAGGGGUGGAGCCUGCGGCUUAAUUUGACUCAACACGGGGAAACUCACCAGGUCCAGACACAAUAAGGAUUGACAGAUUGAGAGCUCUUUUCUUGAUUUUGUGGGUGGUGUGCAUGGCCGUUCUUAGUGGUGGGGGUGACUUGUCUGCUAUGCGAUACGAACGAGACCUUAACCUGCUAAAUAGCCCGCAUUGCUCCGGCAGUGCGCUGGCUUCUUA
rnacentral:rRNA from 1 species